rnacentral:lncRNA from 1 species
CCCCAUCAUAACUCCCCAUGCCAUUUGAGUUCUCAUUUAUUUUCUCCAUUUUUUUCUUCUCAAAGGUGGUUUUUGGGGGGAGACGCAUGGGGGCUCUCCUGAGGGUCCCCUGUCUUUCACACACCUCCCACCUUUUUUCUUUGCUGGUUUGCAUGAGUGGAAGGUCUAACUGUGGCUUUUUUUUUUUUCCUGGGAUUUUAUUUUAUUUUAUUUCAUUUUAUUUUUUUGGGAAAAGGGGAGGGAUGGGUCUAGGGAGUGGGGAAUAUGGGAGGGGGGUGGGGGGGCAAGGGGUCAGGGGUUGGGUGUCCGGGAGCCAGGGGAGGACAGGAAAUGCUGCCGCCUUCUGCAAUUUAUUUAUUUUUUCUUUUGAGAGAGUGAAAGGAAGAGACAGACACUUGAAACCCCGUGUGUGGCCUGGUUCUUUGGGGUGAAGGGGGGAAUGGAGAGACACAGGUCGGGGCCUGGGAUAGGUGGCUCUGAGAACUUCAGAUCCUUCCUUACCUCACAGAGAAUAGGGUGCCUAAAAGGGUCCUGGGAAGGAAUUACCAGACCGAGGCAGACAGAGACAAUGCUGACAGGCCUGGGAAGAGCUGGAGCUCUGCUAGUCCCUGGCAGACUCUGAGCUCUGCAAGCUCAGGUUUGCCCUGACCACUCCCCUAGCUGGCCUCAUCCCUGUUGAAGGCAUAUUCAUUCCUAAAGAAAAACACAGAAGCUCCUCAGCUCAUAGGGGAUUGAAAAGGACCCAUGUAUAAAACUGUACAGAAUGUACAAAUUUAAUAUACCUGACUGGCCGAAAGCGCUCAGCUCCAUUCAUCUUAAAGGGCUCAGAGCAUAGGCCCUUGGUUGGGCAAGCCUGUUGUGUUACAAAGUAUCCAGCAGCCUAAGUGCCAGUCUGGAAGCUGAAGCUGCUACUGUUGCUCAGCGUCAAGAGCCACC